AUAACCAUAGAUAACAGGACUAUUUUUCUUAAUUUAAAAAAUUUAUUAUUUUCAAUGGUUUUAUUUAACAUCUCAAUAAUUGUAUUGUAAUAUAUGAGUACGUAAACGGUUCUGCCUGGUCGAUAAUCUGUGCAUUUACUUUUAUUUUCUAUGAAAUUUAUUUUAGUUUUUUAAAAUGAGUUGUCUUCUUAGUAAACUAUGCAGAGCUAUGGUAAAGAUGACCAAAUUGACUUAAAAAAUGAUGGUCUAUUCAAAUCUGUUGUUAAAAGCAUUUCCUAUUUCCUCCUGAAAACCACAUAUCAAUCCAAUGCCACUGGAAAGAAUAAUUUAUCGUUACUUUUAAAAGGGAUCAUACUGUAUAUUAACGUAAACUCUAAAGGAAACUCUAUUAAAUCAAAAAUUCAGUUACGUAAUUUAUCAGUACCUACGGAAAAUCUUUUUGCUAGAAAAUCAUUUAAUCAACCAUCUCGAUAUCAAAAUAUAUUUCAGAGGCAUGCAAGUACUCUUUUCAAACCAACUAUUUUUUGUAUAUCUGUUAGUUCUGGUGCCAUUGUUUUAGCAGCUAUUAUUCAAUAUGAAAGACUCCAAAGUAAUGCUAAAAUUCAUUCAAGACUACAAAACUUAUACAAUAUAUCUAAAUUUGGACAACAAAAAACGGGUGUUAUCUCAGAGAUAAAAUCUCGUUGGAAUAAUUUAAAACCGUCCGAGAAAAUAUUUGGUACUAUACUUGUAUUAAAUAGUCUUGUUUUUUUUGCGUGGCAAGUACCGAGAUGGCAACAUAUAAUGGUGAAAUAUUUUUCAACAGAUGCACUUGCUAAUAAAAUUCCAGUGUCAUCACUUCUUUUUAGUGCAUUUAGUCACAGUUCUUCAGUACACUUAGCAUUUAAUAUGUAUGCUCUUUUUACAUUUUGCCGAGGUGUAAUUCAUCCUUGGGGUAAACUAGGACCUGAAGAAUUUACUGCAUUUUAUAUAAGUUCUUGUGUUGUUUCAUCAUUAGUUAGUAUUGUAUUUAGAAGAAGCAUGAAAAGCCCAGGAAUAAGUUUAGGCGCUUCUGGUGCUAUAUUAUCUGUUGUUGGAUACUUUGCAUUAUCACAUCCUGAGGAAAAAUUAAGCGUUAUAUUUUUACCUAUGAUUCAAUUUGAUGCAAUUUACGCUUUAUUUGGUUUAGUAACAGUGGACUCAUUAGGAAUACUUUUAGGAUGGAAAAUGUUUGAUCAUGCUGCACAUUUAGGAGGAACAUUGUUUGGAAUGUAUGACAACCCCUCACAAAAAAUAAGUUCCUAAAUACGCCACUGCUAGUAGCUGCCAGUACUAGCGUCGUGUAAACGAUGGGCGCCAAUCACCUGCCAAUUCCAGUUGCCGCAUGCCAUUGACUUUAAAGCUAGCAUGCCAGUAGCCAUGCCAGCAACUGGUUUUGGUAUAAGUAUAUGUCAAAAUAUGUAUGGGGCAAUCGAAGGUAUGUAGUGAGAAAUUGGAUUGCAUUGAAAAAACUUGUUGAUGU